rnacentral:rRNA from 1 species
GACGAACGCUGGCGGCGUGCUUAACACAUGCAAGUCGAACGGAAAGGCCCUGCUUUUGUGGGGUGCUCGAGUGGCGAACGGGUGAGUAACACGUGAGUAACCUGCCCUUGACUUUGGGAUAACUUCAGGAAACUGGGGCUAAUACCGGAUAGGAGCUCCUGCUGCAUGGUGGGGGUUGGAAAGUUUCGGCGGUUGGGGAUGGACUCGCGGCUUAUCCGCUUGUUGGUGUGGUAGUGGCUUACCAAGGCUUUGACGGGUAGCCGGCCUGAGAGGGUGACCGGCCACAUUGGGACUGAGAUACGGCCCAGACUCCUACGGGAGGCAGCAGUGGGGAAUAUUGCACAAUGGGCGGAAGCCUGAUGCAGCAACGCCGCGUGCGGGAUGACGGCCUUCGGGUUGUAAACCGCUUUCGCCUGUGACGAAGCGUGAGUGACGGUAAUGGGUAAAGAAGCACCGGCUAACUACGUG